GCGCCGUUAGUGUAGCGGUUAUCAUCCUUGCCUUCCAUAAUAGGGAAUAGACAGCAAGGGACUCGGGUUCGACUCCCGAACGGCGCA
rnacentral:tRNA from 1 species